rnacentral:misc_RNA from 1 species
AAAGUGGCAAUUCUUUGGUAACCCAAUUCUUUGGCGGCACAGAUGGCGAUUGACUAGGCCUAUAGGCCUAGUAGUAGGGAAAUACCAUUUGCUGCUGUAAUUUAAUUUUAAAAUCAAUUAAGUUACUAUUUUCUGAUGAACAUCAAAUAGCCUAUUAUUUUCAGUCAGUUGAGACCAACAGUGAUAACUAUAUAGGUCAACUAUUCCAGAUAUAUGUGAAAAAUAUGUCUCAUUUUGAUGAGAAGAGUGGAAUUGUACCAUGCGAGACAGAAUGGGGAAUGUGGUACCAAACUAUAGAGGAGGUGAUGGUUGAAAUAAAUGUUGAGCCUGGUACCAAACCCAAGGAGAUUACUGUGAUUUUUAAACCAAAUCAUUUAACAUGUGUUGUAAGAGGAAACAAUAUUAUUAAGGGAGACCUAUUUGCUACAGUGCAUGCCGAUGAGUGUCUUUGGGAUCUUGAAGACAGAAAACUGUUGAGAUUAACAUUAACCAAAGGUAAUCCAACAGCAGAAAACUGUUGGCAGUCAUUACUCAAAGAGCAGUAUGCUGCUGAUCCAAUGAAAUUUGACCAGAUGGAAAAGAAGCUAACUCUAGAGAGGUUUCAAAAUGAGUUCGUUGAUGCAUUUUGAGCGACUACAGUGCAUUCCUUGUAUUGCAAGUAACAAUUUGCCCGCGAAAUUAUUGAAAGUAAUACCUGACCUAUGAGGAAACAGUUACUGGUUUGAUUUGAUCAACUAUAAGCUGAAUUUCCAGGAAGACUAAAACUAAUGAUAUUCGUAAUCAAGAGAUUAAAUGAUUUCAUAAGUCUAAUGUAGUGAUUUAUAUGUACUGUAUAAGACUUCAGUGCAUCUGUAUAAAUAUAGUUCUAAUCUUCAACUUCGUCUUCGACAUCACCGCCCACCAUUGGUUGAUGGCAAGAAGUCUGUACAAUUAAUUGUAUGUUGAAUAUAUCCAGUGAGAGACCAGGUGGUGCAGUCAGCCGUUACUUACAAUAAUACCGUAUAAAAUAAAAUGUUAAACCUGUUUGGCCAGUGCAUUUCUGUGUAUGCCACUACAUAUUUUUUAGACAAAACUAUUCUUAAUUUAAAAUUCAAACAUUCAAGUUAGCAACAAGUGCUUUAUCUGGUACAGUUGUGCAGGUUGCUUUUUAAUUUAUUUUACCAUUUUAUAUUCAUUUAUCGAUGUGCAAAAAGUCCAACAAAUUAACUUGUACCAAACAUGACAAGAACUCUGAAGAGAUGCUUUUUAUAAGUAAAUGAUAGUGAUAAACACCCAGACUUUGUAUGCACAGCAGAGUCAACUUGGAAUUCACCAAUAACUACAGUAUAUUAGUUGAUGGAAGUUUUUCCAACUGUUAGCAUGACCCAAUAAGUAUAUAUUCAUUUUUUCAUUAUUUCAAGAAAAUUUGAUAUUUUUUUCUAAUCUUAUGAUCCUGCACACAUGUAUAGUGAAAUGUUAUUUUGAAAUCUAUAGUGUGAGUUUUAAUGAUGCUACACCCAAAAAAAAGUGAAUUUUUUUUUUCAACAAAGCAUAAUAUAAUAAUACAAAUUAACAAAUGUUUAAUAUUUUUUUUAUUGUUCAAUAAUUGUAAUACUGAAAUUUUUUUUAUUACUGUUGUUACAGUAUUAUUUUGAUUUUCAUCACCUUUUGCUUUGUUAAGGGUAACUCAUAAUUUCUUUUAAAUACUUUAGUACUUAUAUUUUAUGAUAGCUACCAUUUGAGUUAAUUUUCUUACUAGUCGUAUAGUUGUACAAUUUAGUAACAUUGAGACUGAUUUUCUCAAGACCAGAUUUCCAUACAUCUUAACUUACAAUGCUUGCAUUUCUGGAUCUACUUAUCCUUAGAACGACCAAAUUAAAGCUUAUAAUGUAAAGUUAAAA